rnacentral:rRNA from 1 species
GACGAACCGAGCGAACGUUGUUCGGAAUCACUGGGCUUAAAGGGCGCGUAGGCGGGUUCGCAAGUCUGUGGUGAAAUCCUCCGGCUCAACCGGAGAACGGCCUCGGAUACUGCGGGUCUCGAGGGUGAUAGGGGUAUGCGGAACUAUCGGUGGAGCGGUGAAAUGCGUUGAUAUCGAUAGGAACUCCGGUGGCGAAGGCGGCAUACUGGAUCACUUCUGACGCUGAGGCGCGAAAGCCAGGGGAGCAAACGGG